UACGUAGGGGGCAAGCGUUGUCCGGAUUUAUUGGGCGUAAAGCGCGUGUAGGCGGCCACGCAGGUCCGCUGUGAAAACUCGAGGCUCAACCUCGAGCUGUCGGUGGAAACCGCGUGGCUAGAGUCCGGAAGAGGGGACUGGAAUUCCCGGUGUAGCGGUGGAAUGCGCAGAUAUCGGGAGGAACACCCGUGGCGAAGGCGGGUCCCUGGGCAACAACUGACGCUGAGGAGCGAAAGCGUGGGGAGCGAACAGG
rnacentral:rRNA from 1 species